AGGACAGGUAUAAUACUUGAAAUUAAAAGGUCGGACAAGGUAAUUGUUAGAAUAUUGAUAAAACGUUUUACAUGAUGAAAAUUGAAGUUCUUGUUGAAUCUUGUUUGAUUGUUAGUGACAUAUACUAUGUGACCCGAGACCUCCCUCAACACGCAAGAACGUCCAUCAAGCCCUUUGCCCUAGCUCCACGGCAUUAAUUUAGCUUGUGGACGGGAAGGGCUCUCCAUUUGCGUCAUGGCUAGAGCUAGUUUUAGCUUUUCAAGGG